GUCUAGUCGCUAAAUCCGUCUAAGUAACCAGGUAGGCUCUCACAUUGGUGCGAAUUGCUAUGUCAGCCGAAGGCCGACAGUCUUCGGACACUCUAGAAAAUAAUUUGCCGGACCAGCAGACAGUUACAAAUCAGGAUGCUAACACAUCUGCUGGUGGGUCUGCUGCGGCGGACCUGAUGCCCACGGAUGCCGCCGCUGAUCAGUUAGAGGUAAGCAUUCUUCGCCGACUUUCUGCUAUGUCUCCUCACUCGGCGCUAGCUCUGUUUCGGCGACUUGGUACCUCUUUGGCAUCUUACAUUUCUGAAAGUACUGGCGACCAACCUACGGGUGGCGCUCGCAAUCGUGACCAACCUACGGGUGGCGCUCUAAAUCGUAACCAACCUCCGAGUGAACAAUUAACUCCAGAUAUAAGUCUUUCAUUUCAACAGCUUACGGGCGUUGAGGAGACUCAGCCUACGGGCGGGCUUCGUCCUUACUCAGAAUCAUCGGAACCGGCGGACCAAUCCAUGCCCGAAGCUAACGCGGGCGUAGCACUCACGGUAUUAGAUGCCGCCGCACCGGGCACUAGUAAUGGCCAAAGCGAACAACGGCAAGGCCUUCGUGGAAUCGCUUCUCGAUUACGUGAAUUAGUUCAAUCUUUACCUGGUCGCGUUACUUCCUUUCCAACGCCAUUAGUGCGAACACAAUCAUUACCUUCACUACUCUUAUUGUCGCAACCGGAUAAUGUGACGCCGGAACGACAGGUAGCCCGCGAUGUCGCGCAGCAACCACAACCUGAUUCUUUGACGCACGCGCGAACAACUGCGGCCAUACCAAACCGAUUAUUUAUGACACCUAUACCAAACGAUGAUGCCGUCUUGCAGGCACGACGCGGCUUGGGUCCGACCGCGGUUCCGCAGGGCACGGCGGCCCCUAAUCAAGACGCAAGACCCGCCGGAAUGCAGCCGGCGACUGGUCUGGGCUUGCAGCCCGCAAACGCAGCUCAUCAGGCGGCGCCCGGCUUUACUUUCGGGCAGCCGUUUAUGCAGCAACCGCAGCAACAGCAGCGGCCCCCUGAUUUCUAUCAGGCAUUUUCCUUUUCCGGAUUGCCCGGAGUCGAAGGCCAGCGCGGUGUUCCGCCGCCGGUGGAUCUGCAGCGGGAAAUUGCUGGAAACUCCACCACCCUGGUGCAGCAGCUUCAGGAUGUUCGUGGCCGCAUUAACUCUCAAGGCCACCUAAUGGAAAAG
rnacentral:lncRNA from 1 species